rnacentral:tRNA from 4 species
GGGCUUGUAGUGAUAACGGGAGCACGAUGCCUUUGCACGGCAUAGGACAGGGUUCGAUUCCCUGCUAGUCCACCA